CAUGCAGUCGAACGCCGAGUGCCGUGACGCUCCUGAUCGGACCCUCCGACGUCCCAACGCCUUCGGGCCGCGGGACCGACGAGGCAACGUGACGGAGCUGAUCGGAUUCACACUCGGAGUGGCGAACGGGUGAGUAACGCGUGAAUAACCAACCCUUUGGUGUCGGAUAACCUUACGAAAGUUUGGCUAAUCCGACAUGAGGUUGCCUCGCGACAGCGAGGUAAUCAAAGGCCCCUCGGGGUCGCCGAAGGACGGGUUCGCGUCCUAUUAGCUAGUUGGUGAGGUAAAUGCUCACCAAGGCGAUGAUGGGUAGCUGGUCUGAGAGGACGAUCAGUCACACUGGCACUGAGACACGGGCCAGACUCCUACGGGAGGCAGCAGUGGGGAAUCUUGCACAAUGGUCGAAAGGCUGAUGCAGCGACGCCGCAUGGGGGAUGACGGCCCUCGGGUUGUAAACCCCUAUCCAGCGGGAGGAAUAGGGACGUCAGGUAAUGGGCGUCCUUUGACGUUACCGCUGAGAGUAGCUCCGGCUAACUACGUGCCAGCAGCCGCGGUAAUACGUAGGGAGCAAGCGUUAUCCGGAAUCACUGGGCGUAAAGGGUGCGCAGGCGGGCAUGCAAGUCUGACGUGAAAGCCCCGGGCUUAACUCGGGAAUUGCGUUGGAAACUGCAUGUCUUGAGGACCAGAGAGGCAGGCGGAAUUCGCGGUGUAGCGGUGAAAUGCGUAGAUAUCGCGAGGAACACCCGUGGCGAAAGCGACCUGCUAGAUGGUUCCUGACGCUGAGGCACGAAAGCGUGGGGAGCGAACGGGAUUAGAUACCCCGGUAGUCCACGCCCUAAACGAUGAGCACUAGGUGUGAGGGAUUCAACUCCCUCGUGCCGUAGCCAACGCAUUAAGUGCUCCGCCUGGGAAUUACGACCGCAAGGUUGAAACUCAAAGGAAUUGACGGGGGCCCGCACAAGCGGUGGAGCACGUGGUUUAAUUGGAUGCAAAGCCACGAACCUUACCAGGCCUUGACAUGUGAGUGGUAGGGACCUUGAAAGAGGACCCGACUCCUGCUUAGCAGGAGAGCUCUCACAGGUGGUGCAUGGCUGUCGUCAGCUCGUGCCGUGAGGUGUUGGGUUAAGUCCCGCAACGAGCAAAACCCCUACCCUUAGUUGCCAGCCUUGAGUUGGGGACUCUAAGGGAACUGCCCGGGAAAACCGGGAGGAAGGUGGGGAUGACGUCAAGUCCUUAUGCCCCUUAUGGCCUGGGCGACACACGUGCUACAAUGGGUGGUACAACGGGUAGCAACACCGCGAGGUGAAGCGAAUCCCAUAAAGCCAUUCCCAGUUCGGAUUGCAGUCUGCAACUCGACUGCAUGAAGCCGGAAUCGCUAGUAAUCGCAGAUCAGCCAUGCUGCGGUGAAUACGUUCUCGGGCCUUGUACACACCGCCCGUCACACCACAAAAGUCGGCAACACCCGAAGUCGGUGACCUUCGAGGCACCGC
rnacentral:rRNA from 1 species